GGCUCCUUAGCUCAACUGAAUAGAGCAUUUGACUACGGAUCAAAAGGUUGUGGGUUUGAAUCCCGCAGGAGUCACCA
rnacentral:tRNA from 1 species